CUUUCAGGUGGAGGUACGAAUCCUUUCAGCGACUCAAAUGAUUUAUUGGAGUCUGUGAGGAAACUUGCCCAGUGUUUUACAGCAGUAAACACUAACCUGCUACUUUUCAGUACUCAACAAUUAAUAUGACAGGCAUUAUGACGUAGCAGAGUUAAAGUCGAUGGGGGGUGUUGAAAGAAGAAGUACAUUCGGUCCUUUUUUUUUUUUUUUUUCUUUCAACAUCACAUAUUUUUUGAGUACAAUCCACUUUUCAGAGUGACAGAGAUAAGCCUGCAUGUAAUAAAACCAGUAUCAGGUGCAGCGUCACUUUAAGGGGAGCGCACGGCGGCUGGACGAGUAGAUAAUGCAGGACCGCUCAUUGUAGUUUUUCAUAACGUCACCCACCUAUUAACUCUGCCACCGCGCUGAACGGCCAGGUAUGACUCGUCGAGUUGCUGUUUAAGAAGGAAGGACUCAUCUGAAUAAACAACAAAACAAAGUGUUUUGCCUCUCGUGUUGCGUAUGUUUUCUGCACGCAAGCUCGUUAAACAGAAAACAAAUGAUGGGCGUAACGUCACACACUGUAGGAGGAAGUCAACUGAGAGACCAAAAGAGGAAGAUGUCAGAAGUUGUUUAAAGAGAAAUAAACCGUGUCUGGCUCUGUUACAUGUUCUGUUGGUGUAAGAGGCGGUUUUUCACUUCUAUUUUGUCAAAGAUAAACUCCCGCAGGCUUGUGCGGGACACAUGGCUCUCCUACGCACCUGCCUUGUGAAGUGGACGUGCGAAAGUUGUUUCCAUUUUGAACCUCUAUUUUCUCAAAAGCAUUUAUUUUUAAAUUAGUAUCAUGUUAGGUGGCAGUAUCAGAUGCCUUGUUUACAUUUGUAUUCAACAAUUGUCUGCAAGCUUUAUAAUGCUACAUUGCUCAAUGACGUUUAUAUACCCUAAAAUCUAAAUGUUAUUAAGCCUAUGUGUAUAUAGAGGUUAUAAUUUAUCUUUAAACCUUAUUUGUUCUAUUUGACAUUGCAUGUUCCUAAAAUAGAACAUUUUCAUCAAAAUAUUAAGAAAGCCAUAUGUAGGCUAUAGAAUGAUAGGCCUUUUAAUUAUUUGAUUUUAAUUCAUAUUACACAUUUUAUUUUAUUUUAAAAAGUUUUACUAGGCCCAUAAAAUAAAAUAAAAUACACACUAAAAUAGAAUAUCUUUGAUAGAUGAAACAGUAGAAAUGAAUCACCAAAUAACACCAGUUGCUGUCAAAUCUGAAACAUAGGUCUCGUAUGUUCUUUAUGUUUCAGACGGUUAACCCAGCUUUGGGCCUGUUACUAUGAAUAGAAGACUCUUACACUUCAUUAAGAUGAAGCGUGUUCUUGCUGCAAAGUUACAUUCAGUCUCCAAUAUGUGAUCAUAAAUACAAACAUCUUAGCUAGUUUAUAUUGGGUUAUGAAAUAUGACAACCUUUGGUUUUAGAUUAAAGGAUUAUUUUUCUGUUUGUAGUAGUUUCACGACUAGUUAGCAGCACUUUUCUUUUUUAAAUACUCAUCCAUCUCAGCCCCCAAAUGGGAAAAACUGGUUAAUAGUUCAUUUUUAAACUGUAAAAGUAGCAUUAAGCAUAAACAUCAAUGAACUAAAUCAGUGUUCUUCUUUGGGUUGCCAACAUUAGUCACCAAUAGUGAAGGUCAAGAAAAACGAGAUGCUGAAUGUACGGAAUUAGAUCGAAGUUUUUAUUUUGAAAGAAAAACAUCGGGUUCAUUCGGGUCACAUAGUGGAUUACACAGGUUUGAAACGUUGCUUCUGAGCGACAUGUUGCACAACCUGAAUAACCUGAGGUGAUGAAGACUAUUACAGUUUGUGAGGGGCCUCUUUCACACAGUGCUGCAGUUAAAUGCAUUAACUAUUGCUGAAAACUAAUCAGUAGCAACUUAAUGAACAAGUUUGCUCUUGUGACUGAUCUUGACAUUUUUGACUCUGGUAAUAGUUCAAGGAUUGUUUCUGAAAUCUAACUAAAAAAGAUAAUUGGUCCAUUUUUUUAAUCUUUUGUUUCUUUUUCUUUUCCUGCCUGAUGAUAAAACUUGUGCUAAAUUUGCAGCAUACUUAACAAAUGCUCAAAAGAUCAAAAAUAGGUCUUUAAUGGUCUUACAAAAUGCCUUUUAGAAAUCAAUAAAGCAAUAUUGUUUUAUUCAGUGUUGCUCCAUUUAAACAAGAUAUGACAAAAUGUUCAGUUUCAUGUUUAAACAGCGGGUUAUGAAUUUAAUUAAAUACAAUAAAAUGAUACAUUAAACAAUGUUGAGCUCAUAAUAUGUGUAUGUGUGUUACAUUUUGCCCUUUCUUUCAUCAUAUAACUAUAAUAAUACUGCAAUUCUUGUGUUUUUUCCAAUGCUUCUUCAGCACAUGAACAUGCUUAUGAACUCAUACUGAAAUAAAGUGCUUCAGUCCAAAGCACAGACAACAAAGUAAAAAGGAAAAGGCAUUACUUAUUUUCAUCAUCAUCUACAUUCUUUGUGCAAUCACUCAUUCCCUUGUUGCAUAAAAGAGUCCCCAUCGUUGGUCUCCACUGUUGGAACGUCCCAGUUUUUCACUCCAUCCGUUUACUAUUGCAAGAUAGUCCUCUUCAGAGAAUUCCUGCAGUGGUUUGAUGAAGGUAAAAUAAGCAUCCAUAUACAUGUAGUAAUGAGAGUAGGAUGCUCAUUAUGGAUGCAGAGUGUAAGUUAAGUUGACCUUGUGAAUUUGACACAUUUUCUUUUUGUAAACAUGUGAGUGUGUGUUCCUACCUCAAUGAAUUCCUCCUUAAUGGCCUCUGAUCUCUGCAGCUCUGUCUUUAUCACCUGGAUGAACUGGGCUGUUCGGUCUUCUGCCCUAACAUUGCUGAAACCGGCUUCUUCAAUGAACUACAGGAAAAGACAAAGAAAAAGGAGGUAGUAGAAAGAGCACCACCUGUUGAUGCAUGGGGACAAUUUAACAGCCUGAAGAGCAUCUAGCUAACACACCAUUGCCUUGACAGUCAGAAGAGGGGCAGUUUUUGAAAAACGUAAAAUUAAUUAACUUGUCAGUUCUCUCUGGAGGGGAAACUAUGUGAUAGGGACACUAUGUAAUAACCACCAUAAAUGCCAAUCCUUGCAUUUCUUCAAUUGGGAAACACUGUGGCUCAGUGGAUUUAUUGCCACAUAAUUAAAAACAUUUUGGGAUAACCAAAACUUAAAUGAAUGGAUAUCAGUCAGUUCAUAUAUUUGGUGUUUACUGUUUAACCUAUGCUCCAGUGGAGCAGAAACUCAGUAACAGUUUGUACAGUAUGCUGCUCACCCUCUUGUUACAUAUUGGUUAAGAGGACCAAAGAGCAGAACUCCCCAUAGGGUAGGGUAGUCUUCCACAGACUAUUACAUAACUGAACUCUAUUGUAUAUUUACCUUGCCAUACUGUGCGGGAGUAUAGAGGAUGUAGCCUCUCUGUUUGACGUAGGCCUCAAACACAGGUGUCCAGGGCUUUUCACCGCAGCAGUAGUCGCUGAUAAGCAACUUUCCGCCUGGCUUUAACCAUGACUGCACACAGUGAACAAGCAGAAUGAAAGAAUAUGUUAGUAAACCUUUAAAAUUCAAUGUGAUGACACAAAUGAUUUAAGUAUGAGAAACUGCUCACAUGGAAGCGUUUGAAGAGUGCCAGUUUGUCAUCUAUGUGCAGGAUUGUGUCUCUACUGUAGAUCACAUCAAAAGAACCUUCUGCAAACACCCUCUUAGUGGCGUCAGCCACCUCAAACUGGACCUGAGGAAUAUCACACAGCAUUAUUGAUUCAUUUAUACCAAACAGACUGUUAAUCACACUUCUAUAAGUGGUGUUUAAACAAAGAGGACAGGGAAGCAUUUGGACGUACUGAAGGCAGCUUUUCUGCAAUUGCUCGCUCCAUGGCAAUUUCCACCAUGUUGUCUGAAAGGUCCAGGCCAAGCACUUCCACGCCAAAGGUCUGAAAGAAUCAUAAUCAUUGCCGUUAUUAAAGUCCUUUUCGAAGGAUAGAUUUUCAGCAUCAUCAUUAUUGGAAACUCUGCCUGAUUCCUCGUCUCUUACUUUUGCCAUGUAGAAGUCUCCUCCACCAAUACCACAGCCAACAUCAAGGACCUUCUGUCCGGGCUUCAGGUUCAGCAUGUCCACAAACUCCUGUUAGCACAAAAAGCUAUUUGUUUAGUCCAAUCAAUGCCUCCAAAGAUAACCCUAUAUAGCUCUGUUUUUUCCAUGAGUGGAGAAAAUUCCAUUCCGAGUAGGUUACUGUUAAAUUAGCUUACCUAAUGUUUUUUUUAACAAUGAAUUUUGGGGCUUUUUGUGCCUUUAUUGUAGGGACAUGACAGUGGACAGAGUUGGAAAUCAGGGACAGAGGGAGUGAGGAAUGACAUGCGAGAAAGGAACCACAAGUCGGAUUCCAACCCAGGCCAUCCAGUUGGAGGAUUAUAGCCUCCAUACAUGGACCUUACGGUUUAGUUAUAGAUUUCACCACUCGAUGUCACUGCUGUUUUUCCAUACUAGCGGUAGCUUAAGGAUGUAGCUGUAAUCACCUUAUCAUGAUUCUUUGUCACAUUUUACAUACAUUUUUAUUUUAUUUUUUACUUUUAUUAGGGAAUCCCUUUUGGAUUCCACAAAUUAAAUGAUAAUGAUAGUCAGAUUCCCUGUGUUUAUAAUAACGACAACCGAAGAGGUCAGCAUUCAAACAAUGACGGAUGAAGGAAGACGGGUGAAAGAGUGUGUGAAGAUAAAGCUGCUUGGAUCAAGGUCAGUUCUGUUCUAUGUUCUGUUCAUAAAUAUUACAUUUGAAAAUAAUAAUAGUAGUAAUAAUAAUAACGUUAACAUGCUGAUGUUGAGCAGGAUUAAUGUUAAGAACACUUCUGCUUAUUUUAAAUAAACGUGCAAUGCAGAUUAUGCAGAUGAGAAUGUCAUUCAUUAAAUCAUUGGAGAGAAUCUUAAGAACGUUAAAAGCAAGGAUUACCAAAGUAAUUACAAUACAUUUUUUGGAUGGCUGAAAUGUGUGACAAAAAAAUCCUGGCAACCCACGAAACGGUCACUUCAAACAACAAACGUCACUCUCAUAUUGGGACUGGAGCAAAAAACUGCCAAGGAUUUCUUUUGGUGUUUUCCAUAUUCAAACCUACCUUGGUGGUACUGGGUCCACCUGUGCUGACAUAACCAGCUCCAAACAUCUUCUCG